rfam:Hordeum vulgare subsp. vulgare, WGS project CAJW01000000 data, contig: morex_contig_54898
UUAUUACUCACUCAGUCUGAAAUUACUUGUCACGUAGAUUGAUAUAAUUGGAUGUAUCUAGAAUUAAACUACAUCUAGAUACAUCCAUUUCUAUGAUAAAUAUUUCCGAGCGGAGGGAGUAUCAU